rnacentral:rRNA from 1 species
CAGUAGCCGCGGGAAUACGUAGGUCCCGAGCGUUGUCCGGAUUUAUUGGGCGUAAAGGGAGCGCAGGCGGUUUAGUAAGUCUGAAGUUAAAGGCAUUGGCUCAACCAAUGUAUGCUUUGGAAACUGUUAGACUUGAGUGCAGAAGGGGAGAGUGGAAUUCCAUGUGUAGCGGUGAAAUGCGUAGAUAUAUGGAGGAACACCGGUGGCGAAAGCGGCUCUCUGGCUUGUAACUGACGCUGAGGCUCGAAAGCGUGGGGCGCAAACAGGAUUAGAUACCCCUGUAGUCCCUGUCUCUUAUACA